UUCGCAAUGCCCGAAAGGGUGACGAAGCGACGCCGCGUGGGUGAAGAAGGCCUUCGGGUUGUAAAGCCCUGUCAGGAGUUAUGAAAUGUAAGUGCGCUAAUAUCGUGCUUAUUUGACAAAGGCUCCAAAGGAAGCCACGGCUAACUCUGUGCCAGCAGCCGCGGUAAUACAGAGGUGGCGAGCGUUGUUCGGAAUUAUUGGGCGUAAAGAGCACGUAGGUGGGUUUGUAAGUCAGAUGUGAAAGCCUUCUGUUCAACGGAAGAAUUGCAUCUGAAACUGCGAAUCUUGAGUAUAGGAGGGGGGAGUGGAACUUCUGGUGGAGCGGUGAAAUGCGUAGAUAUCAGAAGGAACGCCGGCGGCGAAAGCGAUUCUCUGGCCUAUUACUGACACUCAGUGUGCGAAAGCUAGGGGAGCAAACGGGAUUAGAUACCCCGGUAGUCCUAGCCGUAAACGAUGGGCACUAAGUAGAGGGGUUUU
rnacentral:rRNA from 1 species